GACAGAGGGUGCAAACGUUGUUCGGAAUUACUGGGCGUAAAGCGCAUGUAGGCGGCCACGCAGGUCGGAUGUGAAAGCCCUCGGCUCAACCAAGGAAGUGCAUUCGAAACCGCGUGGCUGGAGUCCCGGAGAGGAAGGUGGAAUUCUCGGUGUAGAGGUGAAAUUCGUAGAUAUCGAGAGGAACAUCGGCGGCGAAAGCGGCCUUCUGGACGAGGACUGACGCUGAGAUGCGAAAGCGUGGGGAGCAAACAGG
rnacentral:rRNA from 1 species